GACGAACGCUGGCGGCGUGCCUAAUACAUGCAAGUAGAACGCUGAAGGAGGAGCUUGCUUCUCUGGAUGAGUUGCGAACGGGUGAGUAACGCGUAGGUAACCUGCCUGGUAGCGGGGGAUAACUAUUGGAAACGAUAGCUAAUACCGCAUAACAGUAGAUAUUGCAUGAUAUCUGCUUGAAAGGUGCAAAUGCAUCACUACCAGAUGGACCUGCGUUGUAUUAGCUAGUUGGUGAGGUAACGGCUCACCAAGGCAACGAUACAUAGCCGACCUGAGAGGGUGAUCGGCCACACUGGGACUGAGACACGGCCCAGACUCCUACGGGAGGCAGCAGUAGGGAAUCUUCGGCAAUGGACGGAAGUCUGACCGAGCAACGCCGCGUGAGUGAAGAAGGUUUUCGGAUCGUAAAGCUCUGCUGUAAGAGAAGAACGAGUGUGAGAGUGGAAAGUUCACACUGUGACGGUAUCUACCAGAAAGGAC
rnacentral:rRNA from 1 species